CUUGGUCAUUUAGAGGAAGUAAAAGUCGUAACAAGGUUUCCGUAGGUGAACCUGCGGAAGGAUCAUUAGCGAAAUCUUUUGUCAAGAAGGGCUGUAGCUGGCCUCCUCCAGGGGUGGCAUGUGCACGCCUGGAUUGCAAAUUUCCACACACCUGUGCACAUCCCCUCGUAGCUGCUGUGAUGCUGAUGAUACGGAUGUUUCCGAUUCUGACGCGCCCCUUGGGCUGCGAGCUGUCUUAUCAUAUACACUUUUCCAAGUAUUAGAAUGUAACUGCAGUAGCGUGUAAAAGCGCGAAAUGAACAACUUUCAGCAACGGAUCUCUUGGCUCUCGCAUCGAUGAAGAACGCAGCGAAAUGCGUUAAGUAAUGUGAAUUGCAGAAUUCAGUGAAUCAUCGAAUCUUUGAACGCACCUUGCGCUCCUUGGUAUUCCGAGGAGCAUGCCUGUUUGAGUGUCAUGGAAUUCUCAACUGCCUUUAUGGUGAAGUUGGAUUUGGAGGAUGGUUUUGCUGGCGCUCUUCUGUGAGCUUUGUCGGCUCCUCUUGAAUGCAUAGGCCUUUCUGUGCAACAUCGUGAAGCGGCUCUGAUGUGAUAAUUAUCUGCGUCGGGCGUCGUUGUUCGCUUUGAGUAUGGAAAUGGAUCGCGAUCGCAGUUAAAUGCGUGUUUGACCAAUUCGACCUCAAAUCAGGUAGGACUACCCGCUGAACUUAAGCAUAUCAAUAAGCGGAGG
rnacentral:rRNA from 1 species